GACGGCCUUCGGGUGUGUAAACCUCUUUUAGUAGGGAAGAAGCGCAAGUGACGGUACCUGCAGAAAAAGCACCGGCUAACUACGUGCCAGCAGCCGCGGUAAUACGUAGGGUGCAAGCGUUGUCCGGAAUUAUUGGGCGUAAAGAGCUCGUAGGCGGCUUGUCGCGUCUGCUGUGAAAACCCGAGGCUCAACCUCGGGCUUGCAGUGGGUACGGGCAGGCUAGAGUGCGGUAGGGGAGAUUGGAAUUCCUGGUGUAGCGGUGGAAUGCGCAGAUAUCAGGAGGAACACCGAUGGCGAAGGCAGAUCUCUGGGCCGCUACUGACGCUGAGGAGCGAAAGCAUGGGGAGCGAACAGGAUUAGAUACCCUGGUAGUCCAUGCCGUAAACGUUGGGAACUAGAUGUAGGGCCUGUUCCACGGGUUCUGUGUCGUAGCUAACGCAUUAAGUUCCCCGCCUGGGGAGUACGGCCGCAAGGCUAAAACUCAAAGGAAUUGACGG
rnacentral:rRNA from 1 species